UCUGCUAAAAAAGGGGAACAAAUAAUACAGAAAAAAAACAUCAGCAGCAACAAAAAAUGCUAUACUUGAGAUGUUUAAACUAGACUUCAAAUCAGUAUUCUCCACACAGAAGACAGAAUAUUGAAACCUCUUUCUCUGCUCUCCCAUGUGUAUAGCGGCUGUGUGUGUCUGACGAAUCAGGUCUCGACUCACAUGAACGCUUCACUAUAUGAGUGCUAAUAAGAACUAUGUCAGGAGGGACACCUGCAGUUUCAGAAAGCGAGAGGAACUGCGACUGACAGCCCAGUGACUGACAGAGCCCCAAAUACAGACCCUCGUUGUGACUGAACAGUGCAGGAGCAUCCAUAAAUCGGGAAAACCUGAGUGAGCCCUGGUUGGGGGGUCACCAAGAAAGGUUCACUUCCCUUUGGUUGUGUGGUGCUGAACAGCAGGACAGGCCUGGUUUUUCUCACCCUGCCUUCCCAUCUGACAACAAAUAAACAGCCAGAGGUCUUUAAUGUGCCAUACAGAUGACACCUCCAAUCUCUUCCUUCACAAAGAGUUCAGGAAGCUUUGGGUGUCAAGACAAAUAUUAUGGCAGUGGAGUUUCAUUUGGCGUGUGUCUGAGGCUUGAGUCUUUCCUUCUAACUUGUGCGUGAGCUGAAGGAAGAGUGUGGAAGUGAAAAACACAAGAGGAACCAUCUGUCUGGUGAACAGUUCUACAUAUGGUCUGACAUUGGUCUGUGUGGAACUGGGACUUUAAUGAAGAGUCAUGACUAGAAAACAGUUAACAAUGCAUUAUCUGUCGCUCUGUUGUUCUCUCUGUCUGUAAGCCCUAUAAACUUUCAAACCUCAAGGACUUUUGUUUAUUUCAAAACUUUCAAACAAGACUUUGUCAAAGCCACCAUUCAAAGGUCGGAUGUAGUGUUCUAUGUCCUUCCAAUAAAAUUCAAAUUGCAAUUCUGGAUACGGUUUCAAAAAUAUACAAAUAAAGUCAUGAGAAAACUUUGUUAGUCUUUGUUAGUCACCAUAAAUGAGGAUUACUACUUGAGAGUGGUUUCUUUUUACUUGGGCCAGUAAGCAAUCACCUAGCAACCACCUAGUAUGCCCCAAUAACUGCCCUAGCAACCACUUAGUUUAUGCCACCAUCCACAACAACCUAGCA